CCAGUACACACAGAAGUACUACGACGAGAUCAUCAACGCACUGGAGGAAGACCCCGCGGCCCAGAAGAUGCAGCUGGCUUUCCGCCUGCAGCAGAUUGCGGCUGCCCUUGAGAACAAGGUCACGGACCUCUGACCUCUGGCCUCUGAUGCUGCCUCGGGGCACAGCAGAGACGCACCCUGGCACCCGGAGCAGGCUGGCAGAGCCCACCCAGUGUCUAGCCUGUAGCACCCUCCCGAGCAAUAUGCCGGCGCCCACCAGCACCAGCCCCUCCUGCAGAGCCAGCCUCAGGGUUCAGCGUCAGGUCUCCCGAGUGACUCGCAACGUGCCUUAUGCUGCCCGCGGGCAGUCGGGCCUCCGCCCCACCAUGCACCAGCAGCUGC